rnacentral:tRNA from 1 species
GGCCUCUUCGUCCAGCCAGGUCAAGGACGCCGGACUUUCAACCCGGAAACGCAGGGUUCAAAUCCCUCAGAGGCCACCA